ensembl:miRNA
UGUGCUUUCUGUUGUGUGUUUUUGUUUUCCCUACUCGUAUGGAGAGAAAGAGCAAUUUCAGGUGAAAGGAUA